rnacentral:rRNA from 1 species
CUAGCCUCAAGUGAUGAUUAUUGGAGGUAGAGCACUGUUUGGACGAGGGGCCCCUCUCGGGUUACCGAAUUCAGACAAACUCCGAAUGCCAAUUAAUUUAACUUGGGAGUCAGAACAUGGGUGAUAAGGUCCGUGUUCGAAAGGGAAACAGCCCAGACCACCAGCUAAGGUCCCAAAAUAUAUGUUAAGUGGAAAAGGAUGUGGCGUUGCCCAGACAACUAGGAUGUUGGCUUAGAAGCAGCCAUCAUUUAAAGAGUGCGUAAUAGCUCACUAGUCGAGUGACACUGCGCCGAAAAUGUACCGGGGCUAAACAUAUUACCGAAGCUGUGGAUUGUCCUUUGGACAAUGGUAGGAGAGCGUUCUAAGGGCGUUGAAGCAUGAUCGUAAGGACAUGUGGAGCGCUUAGAAGUGAGAAUGCCGGUGUGAGUAGCGAAAGACGGGUGAGAAUCCCGUCCACCGAUUGACUAAGGUUUCCAGAGGAAGGCUCGUCCGCUCUGGGUUAGUCGGGUCCUAAGCUGAGGCCGACAGGCGUAGGCGAUGGAUAACAGGUUGAUAUUCCUGUACCACCUAUAAUCGUUUUAAUCGAUGGGGGGACGCAGUAGGAUAGGCGAAGCGUGCGAUUGGAUUGCACGUCUAAGCAGUAAGGCUGAGUAUUAGGCAAAUCCGGUACUCGUUAAGGCUGAGCUGUGAUGGGGAGAAGACAUUGAGUCUUCGAGUCGUUGAUUUCACACUGCCGAGAAAAGCCUCUAGAUAGAAAAUAGGUGCCCGUACCGCAAACCGACACAGGUAGUCAAGAUGAGAAUUCUAAGGUGAGCGAGCGAACUCUCGUUAAGGAACUCGGCAAAAUGACCCCGUAACUUCGGGAGAAGGGGUGCUCUUUAGGGUUAACGCCCAGAAGAGCCGCAGUGAAUAGGCCCAAGCGACUGUUUAUCAAAAACACAGGUCUCUGCUAAACCGUAAGGUGAUGUAUAGGGGCUGACGCCUGCCCGGUGCUGGAAGGUUAAGAGGAGUGGUUAGCUUCUGCGAAGCUACGAAUCGAAGCCCCAGUAAACGGCGGCCGUAACUAUAACGGUCCUAAGGUAGCGAAAUUCCUUGUCGGGUAAGUUCCGACCCGCACGAAAGGCGUAACGAUUUGGGCACUGUCUCAACGAGAGACUCGGUGAAAUCAUAGUACCUGUGAAGAUGCAGGUUACCCGCGACAGGACGGAAAGACCCCGUGGAGCUUUACUGUAGCCUGAUAUUGAAAUUCGGCACAGCUUGUACAGGAUAGGUAGGAGCCUUUGAAACGUGAGCGCUAGCUUACGUGGAGGCGCUGGUGGGAUACUACCCUAGCUGUGUUGGCUUUCUAACCCGCACCACUUAUCGUGGUGGGAGACAGUGUCA